rnacentral:rRNA from 1 species
CAAUGGGAAGACGUGAUGUGGAGUGAAAUAUAGUAACGAAGCCCGUGAGCCAUGCGUCAAGAAAAGCCGCUAUUGUUUAUAUUGUACCCGUACCGUAAACCGACACAGGUCGAUGAGGAGAGAAUCCUAAGGCCGGCGGAAGAAGUAUUGCCAAGGAACUCGGCAAAAUGGCCCCGUAACUUAGGGAGAAGGGGUGCCUGCGAGAGCAGGCCGCAGAGAAUAGGCUCAAGCAACUGUUUAGCAAAAACACAGGUCUAUGCGAAACCGAAAGGUGAGGUAUAUGGGCUGACGCCUGCCCGGUGCUGGAAGGUUAAGAGGAGAGGUUAGACGCAAGUCGAAGCUUUGAAUUUAAGCCCCAGUAAACGGCGGCCGUAACAAUAACGGUCCUAAGGUAGCGAAAUUCCUUGUCGGGUAAGUUCCGACCCGCACGAAAGGCGUAAUGAUUUGAGCGCUGUCUCGGCAAUACAUCCGGUGAAAUUGAAGUGCCAGUGAAGAUGCUGGCUACCCGCGCCAGGACGGAAAGACCCCAUGGAGCUUUACUCCAGUUUGGCACUGGGGUCCGGUGUUGCAUGUACAGGAUAGGUGGGAGGCUGAGAGAUAGUGACGUCAGUUGCUAUGGAGCCGCUGUUGGGAUACCACCCUUGUGAUAUUGGGCUUCUAACCAGCCGCCGUGAACCGGCGGUGGGACAAUGCCAGGCGGGGAGUUUGACUGGGGCGGUCGCCUCCGAAAGGGUAUCGGAGGCGCCCAAAGGUUCCCUCAGAAUGGACGGAAACCAUUCGAAGAGUGCAAAGGCAGAAGGGAGCUUGACUGCGACACCGACGGGUGGAGCAGGUACGAAAGUAGGGCUAGUGAUCCGGUGGUAUUAAGUGGGAAUGCCAUCGCUCAACGGAUAAAAGCUACCCUGGGAUAACAGGCUUAUCACUCCCAAGAGUUCACAUCGACGGAGUGGUUUGGCACCUCGAUGUCGGCUCAUCGCAUCCUGGGGCUGUAGUAGGUCCCAAGGGUUGGGCUGUUCGCCCAUUAAAGCGGUACGCGAGCUGGGUUCAGAACGUCGUGAGACAGUUCGGUCCCUAUCCGGCGUGGGCGUAGGAUAUCUGAGAGGAGCUGUCCUUAGUACGAGAGGACCGGGAUGGACGGACCGCUGGUGGACCGGUUGGCUUGCCAAAGCCAUGGCCGGGUAGCCAAGUCCGGAAGGGAUAAACGCUGAAGGCAUCUAAGCGUGAAGCCCCCCUCAAGAUGAGAUAUCCCAUUCUUUAAGAAGUAAACCCCCUUGAAGACGACGAGGUAGAUAGGGCAGAGGUGGAAGUGUGGUAACACAUGGAGCUGACUGUUACUAAUCGGGUGAGGGCUUGACCAA